rnacentral:lncRNA from 1 species
CUGCUUCUCCUCCGCGUGCUGCAUCUGCGAUCUCGGGAACGCCGGAACGAAUGACGGAGCAGCAACGAACCCGAAGAGAGAAGCGAGUGAGCACCGGAGUAGCGGCGGCCGUAAUGUGGUUCGUCGGUGAUGGCAGGAGAACGGCCGCUUGAUGCACGGCGGAGCAACAACGAGCGCGGAGAGAGGAUUUCAGAUUCAAAAAUUCAGAAGGAAAGAAAUGGAGAGGGAAAGAGGAACGGACGGCCAUUUUCUUUCUCAAACGAAGGAAAGAGAAAAGUUUCCGCAAUAAAUGCUCUGACAGGAGAGAGAGCGUGCAGGUCAGGAGGAGAGGACGUCCUUUGUUUUGCCAGCCG